GUAGUUGUGGCCGAGUGGUUAGGUUAAGGCGAUGGACUUGAAAUCCGUUGGGGUUUCCCGCACAGGUUCAAAUCCUGCCAGCUACG